UACGGGGGGUGCAAGCGUUGUCCGGAAUCACUGGGCGUAAAGGGCGCGUAGGUGGCGCCGUAAGUCUGUGGUGAAAGCCCGGAGCUCAACUCCGGGUCUGCCGCGGAUACUGCGAGGCUUGAGUGCUGUAGAGGGGGGUAGAAUGCCGGGUGUAGCGGUGGAAUGCGUAGAGAUCCGGCAGAAGACCGGUGGCGAAGGCGGCCCCCUGGGCAGUAACUGACACUGAGGCGCGACAGCGUGGGGAGCAAACAGG
rnacentral:rRNA from 1 species